CGUUUAUCUUACCCAUAUUUGUGUGGAUGUGUGUGUAUGUGAGUGUUGUUUGUCCCCGUUUGAUUCCGACCAGAUUCGGGUGGGUUGAAGGUGGGUAAGGGUAAGGGCUUUGAGGGUCGCUUACAUACUGUUGCACAAUUAUGCCUUGAUGUCAUAGUCUGUUAUCAUUGUAUGUAUGCAAAUUGCUGUGAAAUUCAAAUAAAAAGAUUUAAAUCAGAAUAACAAGCCCCGCAAAAAGUCGAAGAAAAAGGGUUGUUUCCGAGUGCGGAUGGACAAGAUAGGCGCAAUGAGCAAGUUGGGCUGUUAGACGCCACACUCCCAGUCACGGACACCGGACUCCGAACACUUUCUGGACGUCUUCUUGUUUCGCGAAAGUAGCUUUUCCUCCGAAAACGACGCCGUUUCUCCCGGUACAAAGAAUAACAUUUACCAGCGACUCUUGUGAAGAACCGCGACGGAUCAUGACUGUUUAUUUAAUUUCUGCAUAGAUGUAUUUAUGUUUAAACUAUAUCUUUAUAAAAGAAAGCUAUUUAUGAAAGUUUAUUUAUGUAACAAACUGAAGAGAGGGUUUGUAACACUUUAACAAGUAGAAUUUGUAACAUUUGUCCUAAUAGCGAUUACGUGUUAAAUUGCAUUUGACGACAGUCCGACAGUCUUUAUUUAUUGUAGUCCGUGAAAUACGAAAUAAAAACAGACCUGCCAGCUCUCC